GACGAACGUUGGCGGCGUGCUUAAUACAUGCAAGUCAACUGAAGCAGUGGUAGCAAUCUCGCUGUGGAGGUGGCGCACGGGUGAGUAACACGUAGGUAAUCUGCCUUCAGGUCUGGCAUAACUCCGGGAAACCGGGGCUAAUAGCAGAUGAUGCAGCGGCUCGACAUCGAGACAGUUGUUAAAGCUAUGGCGCCUGAAGAUGAGCCUGCGUCUGAUUAGCUAGUUGGCGGGGUAACGGCCCACCAAGGCAACGAUCAGUAGCUGGUCUGAGAGGAUGAUCAGCCACACUGGAACUGAGACACGGUCCAGACUCCUACGGGAGGCAGCAGUAAGGAAUAUUGCUCAAUGGGAGAAAUCCUGAAGCAGCAACGCCGCGUGAGGGACGAAGGGCUUUUGCUUGUAAACCUCUGUAGUGAGAGAAAAAAAAUCCCAAUCUUUGGGACAUGAUGGUAUCUCAAAAGUAAGCCCCGGCUAACUACGUG
rnacentral:rRNA from 1 species